GAUGAACGCUGGCUACAGGCUUAACACAUGCAAGUCGAGGGGAAACGACGGGGAAGCUUGCUUCCCCGGGCGUCGACCGGCGCACGGGUGAGUAACGCGUAUCCAACCUGCCUCUGACUGAGGGAUAACCCGUCGAAAGUCGGCCUAAUACCUCAUGGCAUCGUCUGCGGGCAUCCAACGACGAUUAAAGAUUUCAUCGGUCAGGGAUGGGGAUGCGUCUGAUUAGCUUGUUGGCGGGGUAACGGCCCACCAAGGCUGCGAUCAGUAGGGGUUCUGAGAGGAAGGUCCCCCACAUUGGAACUGAGACACGGUCCAAACUCCUACGGGAGGCAGCAGUGAGGAAUAUUGGUCAAUGGGCGGGAGCCUGAACCAGCCAAGUAGCGUGCAGGAUGACGGCCCUAUGGGUUGUAAACUGCUUUUAUGCGGGGAUAAAGUGAGGGACGUGUCCUUCAUUGCAGGUACCGCAUGAAUAAGGACCGGCUAAUUCCGUG
rnacentral:rRNA from 1 species